UGGGCAACCUGCCCUCAGCUCUGGGAUAACUCCAAGAAAUUGGGGCUAAUACCGGAUAUGACCGCUGACCGCAUGGUCUGGUGGUGGAAAGAUUUAUCGGCUGGGGAUGGGCCCGCGGCCUACCAGCUUGUUGGUGGGGUAGUGGCCUACCAAGGCGACGACGGGUAGCCGGCCUGAGAGGGUGACCGGCCACACUGGGACUGAGACACGGCCCAGACUCCUACGGGAG
rnacentral:rRNA from 1 species